rnacentral:lncRNA from 1 species
AUGCACUGUUCCUCCACCGCUGUGGUCAAUGAUUUCCAAAAUCAGGCCAGCCCUUAGACCUAUACCAUGUGACUUUCUGUAAAGCAGAGGUUUGGCUUAUUACUUGGUUAGCUGAGUGGACAAAGCUCUAGUCGUUCAACCCUGAACACAGGUCUGUCUGAACACAGGCAACUGAGCAGAUAAUUUUGUAGAUUCUCUAGUUCUGUAGGAAGUGUCCAAAGUGGAUAUAACAAGCUAACUAUGUGAUCAGAUGACAGAAAGACCCUAAUUAGAAGGACACCCAUGGACCAGCACCUGUAAAAGAGAAGAAACUUGCCAAAGUGAGCAAGGGUAGAUGCCACACAUGGAAGGCAAGCAGGAAAUAUUUCUUAUGUGACUCUCAAAGGGCUGCAUCUGGAGAACAUGAAGAUUUCAGUUUAACUGGCAUUUUGAGGCAUGCACAGGAGCUCACUGUUCUCAAGCUGUGCCAGGAUGGCAGGUGCAGCAGGACCAACGUCUCCGACCUAGAUGAUGAGCCAGCCUGCAUGGAAGAGGUUGACUACACUUCAGAUGGCAGCUCAGACCAGGAUGAGAGCAUCCUUGAGCUGGACCGGCAGAUCCAGGCAUGUGCCUUCAAUCAGGAUGAGGGAGAAGAAGAGGAGGGGACAAGGCAGAGAAGAAACACCAUCCUGUAAUCCUGAGGUUCAUAGAAACUCUGUUUCCAGUCACUGGACUCAGACACACACAGCGUGAAAUGGCCUGUGUGAGCUCCUGAUUUCAUUCUAGUUCUACUAUGCAUAGAGUCUGGUUACUUCUCGAUUAUAACAUUUUUCUACACUGCUGUACUGCCCUUGGAGCCUAUACAUGCUGCCGUUGCAAUUAGAAUGGGACUCCAUGGUAUGGGAUUACCAUGGGGCCUCUCCAGACAGCACUGAGCUCCCCUGCAUUCCUGUGCUUGAAGCUGAAGCUGGCUGGAAGCAGAGGAGUGGGCUUUCUUCCUGGUUUCUCAAUCAGAAAUCUAUAUGCCUUUAAAUUGUUCCAUAUAUGAGUGUUACAUCAACCAUAGCAUCUGAGCUUUCCAGCACCAACAUAAGCCACUGAAACUCUGAGGGUCCUGGAAGGGUCAGAAAGUAUUGGAUGAUUGAACAUAGAAGGCUGUGCAGUCAGGUAAUUGCAAAUAUCAUCCUGCAGGUCUGUAACAGUAUACAUUUUAUGGAUUUGGUAGAGGCCAGAAGCUCGGUUAGAUUCUAUGGAAUAAGACAUGAUCACUGGUCCUCGCAAAUUUCAAAACCCUACAUAUUCAGGCCAUUAAACACACUCGGGAAGACAGCGUGAUACCCUGGAAAAUGCAUUCAUUUCAGAAUCAGACAGACAAAUGAGGUUUGUAUCCUGGAUCUGGCAUUGCCUGUUAUGAAAAUGUAGGCAAGUAAUUGGAUCUCUCCAAACUUCAGAGUUUUUAUGCAUCCAGUAAGAAUGAGUGUAUGUAUACCAUGAAGUUAUCCCAAAGAUGAAAUGAGAUAUAAAAGUGUGCAGCUUGGCACAUGCUACACAAUAGUGUUGGCUUUUUCCCCUCCACAACACAAAGGUAUUAUAUGUAAGUAGUCUCACAGUUACACACAAAAAAAUGUUCUCUGGGGCCACAUGAUUGAGAAAUAUUCUUUCUCGAAGGGAUCUGGAAAGGAAGUUACAUGGAGGAAGAGCCUAGGUGAGUGAAUGGCUUGAGAGUCUGUGUGCAGAAGGAAGCAUCUCAGAAACAUGAUUGCUGAGGUUAGGGAGGUAGAUAGAAGGGGGACAAUGAUGAGGAGUAUAUUCUAAGUCAAAUACGAGUCUGUUCAAUGCCAUAUGUAUUUAAUCAGGAUUGGAUUUGGCUAUGAGAGAUGGAAAAUUCAAAAUACUAGUAGCUUUGGCAAGGUAUAAGUUUUCUUUCAUACAGAAUUUCACAUGUACAGAGGCCAGAGCUGGUACCUUGGCUGCAUUAUGUCAGAGACCCAGCUUCUAGUCCUCUAGCUCUGCCGUGUGUUGCUUCUAUUCUUGACCUAGAAUUGCUGCAAAAGCAUCAGCUUUUCUCUCUGCAUCCCAGAGAGCAGCAAAAAGAAUACCAAAAAAGAACAUGUUUCCUACUUUGGAAAAAAUCUAUGCAUGGUAUUUGUGCUUGAUCCCACCAACCAGAAAGUUGUCCAAUGACCACAGGUAACUGCAGGGGAGGUCCGAAAAUAUAGCCUUUAUCUGAGAUGGGCCCAGCUGAAAUUUAAAGUUUUAAUGCUAAGGGAAUUGGAAAUAAAAUAGUGUAUACUGGGUGAUCACGUACUUGAAAAAGAGAGUUUGCCUAGCAUACCACCACCCAAAGAGUUUUGAAGCUUUAAAAUAAUUCCAGAGAAUAUGUAUAGUGUUCGCUUGCUCUGAUCAGCAGAAAGAUACAGAGCAAAAGUUUGCCAUAGUUUAAGCAUAAGACAUAAGAGAAAAGCAUGUGUGUUGUGAUUUUGAUUUAGGGAAUUGAUAUUAUUACUUGAUAUUACUUGAUAUUAUAUUAUCUCUGCUGUUUCCUAUUCUUUUUCAGAGUUUCUGGUGUAGCUCAGAAAUUACACACCUAUCCUUCAUAUUAAGACAUUCAGAUUUCUAUGACAUACACAAGAGGUUUGAAGGAAAUAACAAAUCUGAAUUCAGAUCCCAAAGUAACAGCAUCUUUUAACUUCUCCUUUAUACAUUUUUGCCAAUUUUGAAUAGAGAAAUACAUAAUGCUCCUGGUUCUCCAUUGCUUUGAGGAGUUAUGAAAAAAAUAUUGCUGAAAUGUAAAUGCUGGAAAGGGGUGGGAACAAUACUAACUCGCUAUCAGCAAGUAAUACCUCAGCCCAAAUUAAUUUAUGAGAUUAAUUUGUGAUCAACUAGCACAGUUAUGAGAAAAAAGGGAGAAAAGCAGGUGAGUUUCAAUAUAGAAACUUCUGAAAAAAUCAGACACUUGGAACACUUAUUGAUUUAUCUAUACAACAAAGGUAUAUUAAUUGCCCACUGUGUGUCCUGCACUUUUUUAAGCUCUAAGAAUUUAGAGAAAGAAGAUUUACUAUGAACUCAAGUUACUGUAACUUGAUAAGUAAGAAUAGCAAGUAUUUUAUUUUAAGAUAGGGACAUAUAACAUUAUGGGAAUCUGAAAAUGAUAAUAUGGAAAACCCUUAAGAUUGUGGUGGCAAAAGUCUACUAGAAGAUGAAAAUGUAGAUGACAUGUUCAGAAGUUUCAGGCAGGACAUGUUAAGAAAUAGAGAAAGCUUGAAUAGAGGACCUGUGGUAAGGUUAGGACAUGGACUAAAAUGUUCAGUGUUACUAGUUUAAAGAAUAUAGUUGUAUAUUGAGAAACAAGGAAAAUAGCAAGAGAUUAAGUAGAAAAACUAGAUACUAGAUAGCAAUCAGAUGUAACAAUAUUUGCUAUGCCCUGAGGAAGGAGUUGAACUUAAUUCCCAGCGUGGUAGGGGAGAACUACAAAACUUUUCAGCAGUGGCAUGUCUAGAACUACGCACAAUACUAGCACACGUGUCAGCACCAUAGUCCCAACCUGUUCGUAGCCUAGAGUCUGGCACUCUUGCCAGGCUGGUUGUUGACUACCGUGAGGCUACUGCUGGGUGUGGCAUUUUGAUACCUGAAGAACAAUAUUUACAGCGAGGUAAAGAUUAUGGUGCCAUGCUGGUUGUUGGAGACCAACAAGCUACUGGAUUGGAAAGGACCCCUGCAAGCCAGAGGCAUGUCGGGAAAAGGAAGCAUAAGGAGAAGUAUAUACGGAUAAGCACACUCUUAUUGCCCCCUCCAUUCACACACACUACUUGUUGAGCCACACAACACCGUAAGUAUACCAAUUGCUUUUUAGAACCAUUUUUCAGGUUUCUGUUGCUUCUGCUGAGCUUCUCUUCUCCGAUUACCCUAUUUGAGGCAAUGAAAACCCGUUCAGAUUCACCUUUCUCCUUUUAUAAACACCAAAGCCAACUUACACAACCUGUCUUCUGUGCACCAUUGUAUUAUUUAUACAUCUAUUUAGCAGCACACUUUCCAGCUUCUAUACACUGUAUACCCUCACCCCAGGCAGUAGUGAGUAAUGAGCUCUAAAAUGCAUGAACCUGCUAUUAUUUUGGGAUCCCUCUUCCCACCACGCAAACUUUCUGACAUGUUGAAGGUAUUCAGGAAAAUGUGUCCCCUGCUUGACUCCCAGCUUCCAAACUAGACAUCUAAUAUCUUAAUAUCUCAUACAUUUCCUUGCCUUUCUCCAAUUUUCUAUCUUCAAUCAGAGUUUGUGUUAUAUGAAAGAAAAAUAGUUUCAUGAAAAGGGCAUCUUGCAAAGGUACAGAACCUCCCCAGCAGGCAGUUGCCAUGGAAGGCUGCUUCCAGAGUGAGGCCAGCUUAAGAAGGAUCCGGUGGCCUUGUCCUCACUGGUGUAACGCAGACACUUGGACUGAGCAGUGACAAUGGAGCAAAGGCGCCUCUAAGUUUCCCUGGUGGCUGCCGCAUUCAUCCGGGUGCUCUGGACCAUGCAGUCACUUUGGUGGGAACUGGCUGGGUGGCUCCGUGUGCCUUGUACCAACUUGACUGCUUGGGUGCUUUGCUUCUUGCAAUCCCACCAGCGAGUAUCAGCAUCCAAGGAUUCCAUCCACUGGCUCCAGGUUCUCUUAAGCCUCCAGAGAAAAGGAUUCAGAGUCAUAAAGAACAUUUGAGAUUAACCUGGUCCCUGAGCUACAAGCACACAUUGAGGGCUGCCAACACCAAUAAAGUCACAUUAAACUCCCAACCACAGGAGAAAUUCUCACAUGCAGCUUCCAUUCAUUAGCCUGGAGACUUAGCUGUAGAGUUGAUUUCAUGUUCCAAGAGAAGAGGCUUCUAUGAAAUGCCUGACAUAAGUCAUCCUUGUUAGGAAUUAGCACAGUGACCCACGUGGUGGAUCUGGACAUUUGGGUUAGCAUUAGAGUGAUGGAUUUAUUUUGCCCCGCUGGUACCCCUCACCCCUGCUCCCAAAAGCUUCCAUCUUCCAAAGAUGCAUAGACAGUAGACUGCUCCUCACCACAAGAGUUUUGGUCUAGAGCUGCUGCUAUCUGCCGAACAAGGUCCUCUUUUGUUUGUGUUGGAAUUUGGCUACAUGAAUGCCCUCUUGAUUCUUGAUUUUUAAAACGUGUUGUUUAGAUAAAAAUGAGUGGUAAAAAGGACUUUUGAAAUAAAAAUGGAUUGGAUUGCAUCUUUUCAGUGCCUAGUGAUAAAAAGAUAAUUUUGUAUGUAAUGUAAAAAGCAUCUACUUCAUACAUGCCAGCACAGUGAGGCUGAAAUUGAACUUAAACUCCCUACCACAUCUUCCUCCCCAGCACACACACAUACACACACAGAGAAAGAGUACUUAUAGGGCUUUAGGCAAGAGAAC